rnacentral:rRNA from 1 species
AGCGAACGCUGGCGGCAGGCUUAACACAUGCAAGUCGAGCGGGCGUAGCAAUACGUCAGCGGCAGACGGGUGAGUAACGCGUGGGAACGUACCUUUUGGUUCGGAACAACACAGGGAAACUUGUGCUAAUACCGGAUAAGCCCUUACGGGGAAAGAUUUAUCGCCGAAAGAUCGGCCCGCGUCUGAUUAGCUAGUUGGUGAGGUAAUGGCUCACCAAGGCGACGAUCAGUAGCUGGUCUGAGAGGAUGAUCAGCCACAUUGGGACUGAGACACGGCCCAAACUCCUACGGGAGGCAGCAGUGGGGAAUAUUGGACAAUGGGCGCAAGCCUGAUCCAGCCAUGCCGCGUGAGUGAUGAAGGCCCUAGGGUUGUAAAGCUCUUUUGUGCGGGAAGAUAAUGACGGUACCGCAAGAAUAAGCCCCGGCUAACUUCGUGCCAGCCGCCGCAGUAAAAC